AACGCACAUUGCGCCUCUUGUUGUUCCGGGGGCAUGCCUGUUCAAGAGUCAUUUCGACCCUCAAGCUCUGCUUGGUCUUGGGCCGCGCCGGUCGGGCCACAAAAACAGUGGCGGCGCCAUCGUGUCCCUCGGCAUAUUAAUUUUUCUCGCUGUUGGGUCCUCGUGGCUGCUGGCCAGCAACCCCCAAUAUUUCUAUGGUUGACCUCGGAUCAGGUAGGGA
rnacentral:misc_RNA from 1 species